UACGGGGGGGGCAAGCGUUGUUCGGAAUUACUGGGCGUAAAGGGUUCGUAGGUGGCUCGCUAAGUCAGACGUGAAAUCCCUCAGCUCAACUGGGGAACUGCGUCUGAGACUGGGGAGCUCGAGUGCAGGAGAGGAACGCGGAAUUCCAGGUGUAGCGGUGAAAUGCGUAGAUAUCUGGAGGAACACCGGUGGCGAAGGCGGCGUUCUGGACUGCAACUGACACUGAGGAACGAAAGCCAGGGGAGCAAACGGG
rnacentral:rRNA from 1 species